UACGGAGGGGGCUAGCGUUGUUCGGAAUUACUGGGCGUAAAGCGCACGUAGGCGGCUUUGCAAGUUAGAGGUGAAAGCCCGGGGCUCAACUCCGGAAUUGCCUUUAAAACUGCAUCGCUAGAGUUGUGGAGAGGUAAGUGGAAUUCCGAGUGUAGAGGUGAAAUUCGUAGAUAUUCGGAAGAACACCAGUGGCGAAGGCGACUUACUGGACACAUACUGACGCUGAGGUGCGAAAGCGUGGGAGCAAACAGGG
rnacentral:rRNA from 1 species